rnacentral:rRNA from 1 species
ACUAGCAGUAAGAGUUUGAUCAUGGCUCAGAAUGAACGCUGGCGGCGUGCUUUACACAUGCAAGUCGAGCGAGGCGGCCCGCAAGGGCCAGUCGAGCGGCGAACGGGUGAGUAACACGUGGAUCAUCUGCCCAGAGGUGGGGGAUAACCCGGGGAAACUCGGGCUAAUACCGCAUAAGACCGGAAGGUCAAAGGGGGUCGCAAGAUCUCUCGCCAUUGGAGGAGUCCGCGUCCGAUUAGCUAGUUGGUAGGGUAAUGGCCUACCAAGGCGACGAUCGGUAGCCGGCCUGAGAGGGUGAUCAGCCACACUGGGACUGAGACACGGCCCAGACUCCUACGGGAGGCAGCAGUGGGGAAUAUUGGACAAUGGGCGCAAGCCUGAUCCAGCCAUGCCGCGUGAGUGAAGAAGGCCCUAGGGUUGUAAAGCUCUUUCAGCGGGGACGAUAAUGACGGUACCCGCAGAAGAAGCCCCGGCUAACUUCGUGCCAGCCGCCGCGGUAAUUC